CCUACGGGAGGCAGCAGUGAGGAAUAUUGGUCAAUGGGCGCGAGCCUGAACCAGCCAAGUAGCGUGAAGGAUGACUGCCCUACGGGUUGUAAACUUCUUUUAUAAAGGAAUAAAGUGAGGCACGUGUGCCUCUUUGUAUGUACUUUAUGAAUAAGGAUCGGCUAACUCCGUGCCAGCAGCGGAGGUAAUACGGAGGAUCCGAGCGUUAUCCGGAUUUAUUGGUUUUGAAGGGAGCGUAGAUGGGUUGUUAAGUCAGUUGUGAAAGCUUGCGGCUCAACCGUAAAAUUGCACUUGAUACUGGCAGACUUGAGUACAUUUGAGGUAGGCGGAAUUCGUGGUGUAGGAGUGAAAUGCUUAGAUAUCACGAAGAACUCCGAUUGCGAAGGCAGCUUACUAAACUGCCACUGACAUUGAUGCUCGAAAGUGUGGGUAUCAAACAGGAUUAGAUACCCGUGUAGUC
rnacentral:rRNA from 1 species